CAGUCGCCGCGGGAAUACGUAGGUGGCAAGCGUUGUCCGGAAUUAUUGGGCGUAAGGCGCGCGCAGGCGGAUCAGUCAGUCUGUCUUAAGAGUUCGGGGCUUAACCCCGUGAGGGGAUGGAAACUGCUGAUCUAGAGUAUCGGAGAGGAAAGUGGAAUUCCUAGUGUAGCGGUGAAAUGCGUAGAUAUUAGGAAGAACACCAGUGGCGAAGGCGACUUUCUGGACGAAAACUGACGCUGAGGCGCGAAAGCCAGGGGAGCGAACGGGAUUAGAUACCCCAGUAGUCCCUGUCUCUUAUACA
rnacentral:rRNA from 1 species